rnacentral:rRNA from 1 species
UAGGGAAUCUUCCGCAAUGGACGAAAGUCUGACGGAGCAACGCCGCGUGAGUGAAGAAGGAUUUCGGUUCGUAAAACUCUGUUGUUAGGGAAGAAAAAAUGUAUAGUAACUAUAUACAAAAGAGACGGUACCUAACCAGAAAGCCACGGCUAACUACGUGCCAGCAGCCGCGGUAAUACGUAGGUGGCAAGCGUUGUCCGGAAUUAUUGGGCGUAAAGCGCGCGCAGGUGGUUUAGAAAGUCUGAUGUGAAAGCCCACGGCUCAACCGUGGAGGGUCAUUGGAAACUAAUAAACUUGAGUGCAGGAGAGAAAAGUGGAAUUCCUAGUGUAGCGGUGAAAUGCGUAGAGAUUAGGAGGAACACCGGUGGCGAAAGCGGCUUUUUGGCCUGCAACUGACACUGAGGUGCGAAAGCGUGGGGAGCAAACAGG